GUGGGGAAUAUUGGACAAUGGGCGCAAGCCUGAUCCAGCCAUGCCGCGUGAGUGAUGAAGGCCCUAGGGUUGUAAAGCUCUUUCACCGAUGAAGAUAAUGACGGUAGUCGGAGAAGAAGCCCCGGCUAACUUCGUGCCAGCAGCCGCGGUAAUACGAAGGGGGUUAGCGUUGUUCGGAAUUACUGGGCGUAAAGCGCACGUAGGCGGAUAUUUAAGUCAGGGGUGAUAUCCAAGAGCUCAACUCUGGACCUGCCUUUGGUACUGGGUAUCUCGAGUAUGGAAGAGGUGAGUGGAAUUCCGAGUGUAGAGGUGAAAUUCGUAGAUAUUCGGAGGAACACCAGUGGCGAAGGCGGCUCACUGGUCCAUUACUGACGCUGAGGUGCGAAAGCGUGGGGAGCAAACAGGAUUAGAUACCCCGGUAGUCC
rnacentral:rRNA from 1 species